rnacentral:rRNA from 1 species
CCUACGGGGGGCUGCAGUGGGGAAUUUUGGACAAUGGGCGAAAGCCUGAUCCAGCAAUGCCGCGUGUGCGAAGAAGGCCUUCGGGUUGUAAAGCACUUUUGUCCGGAAAGAAAUCCGCCUGGCUAAUACCCGGGCGGGAUGACGGUACCGGAAGAAUAAGCACCGGCUAACUACGUGCCAGCAGCCGCGGUAAUACGUAGGGUGCGAGCGUUAAUCGGAAUUACUGGGCGUAAAGCGUGCGCAGGCGGCUGAAAUCCCCGGGCUCAACCUGGGAUCUGCAUUUGUGACUGCAAGGCUAGAGUGCGUCAGAGGGAGGUGGAAUUCCGCGUGUAGCAGUGAAAUGCGUAGAGAUGCGGAGGAACACCGAUGGCGAAGGCAGCCUCCUGGGAUGACACUGACGCUCAUGCACGAAAGCGUGGGGAGCAAACAGGAUUAGAUACCCCAGUAGUC